rnacentral:lncRNA from 13 species
AGAACAUACAGGAUGUUAGUGUCAUGGUGGUCAGAACAUACAGGAUGUUAGUGUCAUGGUGGUCAUAACAUACAGGAUGUUAGUGUCAUGGUGGUCAGAACAUACAGGAUGUUAGUGUCAUGGUGAGAACAUACAGGAUGUUAGUGUCAUGGUGGUCAGAACAUACAGGAUGUUAGUGUCAUGGUGGUCAGAACAUACAGGAUGUUAGUGUCAUGGUGAGAACAUACAGGAUGUUAGUGUCAUGGUGGUCAGAACAUACAGGAUGUUAGUGUCAUGGUGAGAACAUACAGGAUGUUAGUGUCAUGGUCAGAACAUACAGGAUGUUAGUGUCAUGGUGAUCAUCUGAUAACCUCUAUCAACAACAAGUAACUGGAUCACAGUUGGCCGAUUGAGAUUCUAUAAUAUCUGUGGUUGUCUAUAUCUUUCUGUUUUGAUUUAAUUUAGUGUAUUGAGACAAUCCACUAUAGAUGGAGUUUGACUUG